rnacentral:rRNA from 1 species
UACGUAGGGGGCAAGCGUUGUCCGGAAUCAUUGGGCGUAAAGAGCGUGUAGGCGGCCAGAUAAGUCCGCUGUGAAAUCUCGAGGCUCAACUUCGAGCUGUCGGUGGAAACUGUCUGGCUAGAGUCCGGAAGAGGAGAAUGGAAUUCCUGGUGUAGCGGUGAAAUGCGUAGAUAUCGGAAGGAACACCAGUGGCGAAAGCGGCUUCCUGGUCCAGCACCGACGUCAGGCACGAAAGCGU